rnacentral:rRNA from 1 species
AUGGGAGCCGACUGCAUUAUCGCAACGCUCGGGACCUUCCACAAGCACCUCAGGACUCUGGUACUUCGACUCUUCGGCCCAGAAAACCUCAGGAUGGUUCUACUCCAUGAAGUACAACAGACGGCCCAGGCCAGCCUAUUCUCCUGGCUCGAUCAUCCUAGUAUCGAAGUGAAAGAGGCAACGUCUAGUAUGAUAUUCAGCAUCACGGCAAAGCGGUUAAUCAGCUAUGACUCCUCAAGCUCAGAUGGGAAGCUAUGGAAGCAAUUUGAUGCAUUUCUUCAAGGACUACUAGCAUUUCCACUGUACAUUCCUGGCACAGCAUUCUACAAAUGUAUGCAGGGCCGGAAGAAUGUCAUGAAGAUCUUGAAAGAAUUGCUCAACGAGAGGAAGAAGGCAACAUGUCGGGAGAGUGUUGACUUUAUCGAUAUCUUGAUCAAUGAUUUGAAGGAUAAUAAGACUUUAAUGAACGAGAAAAUUGCAUUGGAUUUGCUCUUCUUAUUAUUGUUCGCGGGCUUCGAAACUACGUCUUCGGGGAUAACUGCUACACUCAAGUUUCUAACCGGUGACCCCAAGGCCCUGCAAGAAUUAACAGAGGAGCACAACAACAUCCGGAAAAGAAGGGCCAACCCUGACUCUGCAAUCACAUGGGAGGAAUACAAGUCCAUGAAAUUUACAUCUCAUGUCAUACAUGAAGCAUUAAGGCUAGCUAACAUUGCUCCCGUAAUGUUUAGAAAAGCAACAGAGGAAGUUCAUAUAAAAGGUUACACUAUCCCAAAAGGAUCAAAGAUCAUGGUUAAUCCUUCUAGCAUUCAUCUCGAUCCUACUAUUUACAAGGAUCCCAAUGCAUUCAAUCCUUGGAGGUGGAAGGAUACUACUGAACCAGUGGGUGGCUCCUCAAAGGAUUUCAUGGCCUUUGGAGGCGGGUUGCGGUUAUGUGUUGGUGCCGACUUUGCCAAGCUACAAAUGGCUAUCUUCCUACAUUGCUUAGUUACUAAAUACAGUUGGAAAGUCAUAAAGGGAGGAAAGAUGGUGCUUUCUCCUGGACUACAGUUUCCUUGUGGUUUUCACAUACAACUUCUCCCAAAAUCUUGA